GUUCAAUUGACGGGUCCAAAACAGGAUGAAACGCGUGUCCUGGAU
rfam:Schistosoma curassoni strain Dakar, Senegal genome assembly, scaffold: SCTD_scaffold0009325